UACGUAGGGACCAAGCGUUGUUCGGAUUUACUGGGCGUAAAGGGCGCGUAGGCGGCAAUUCAAGUCAUCUGUGAAAUCUCCGGGCUUAACUCGGAACGGUCAGAUGAUACUGCUUUGCUAGAGUGCGGAAGGGGCAAUCGGGAUUCUUGGUGUAGCGGUGAAAUGCGUAGAUAUCAAGAGGAACACCUGAGGUGAAGACGGGUUGCUGGGCCGACACUGACGCUGAGGCGCGAAAGCCAGGGGAGCAAACGGG
rnacentral:rRNA from 1 species